GUGAGUGAGAGACCGCAUGGGAGUAAUGUGUAGGAGCUGUCCAUACCCUAGUACUGACAACCAACCAAUAACGUUCAUCUUCUGAUGUCUGCUGACAGAGCAUUAGCCAAUCACGUUGCAGCUGAUCUGUGAUGACCUCUCUCUGCUAUUCCUGUAGUGGAAGAUGUCAGACAGGGCCAGUGCACAUGGCUAAUAGAGACAACAUCUAUGAAAAAAGGGACUGUAUAAGUUUAUGAGUUGACAUUAGGAAUGUAAUAAAGGGUGAUGUGUUUUUAUGGCUUAAGGGUGAGAUAUAAGGAGCUCUUAUGAAAGCAUGUGCCGUAGAAGAAAAAAAUGCCUCUUUUUAAUCGUUAGCUCAGUGCAAUACUUAAACCACCACACAAUAACUUUAAUCUAAUUUGCACAGUUUGCGUUUAUGUAUUUAUUUUGUGUAUUUAUCCUGCAAACCAUUAACAAGACCAAGUGCAAAUAUGAACUGAUUUCAGUUCAUAUUUGCAAAAGCAAAUGGCAAGAACUGCAUACAGAUCUCUGGCUUGGCUGUUUUUAGUCUUGUUUGAAUAGAGGAACCGGAGGAUCCCUUUUGAUGGAUGUGCCAGGAAAUAAUUCAGACUCUGAAGGGAUGAAUGGAGACUGGUGCCCUGAUCUAAUGUCUUUGUUGGAUACUGACAGGAGACAGCUCAGUAUUGUAUAAGAAAGGUCAAAGAGUUGGUUGAAGAACUAAGAAGAGGAGGAAGAACUGAAUACAACCCUAAAUACUGUGUAAUAACAUCAGCAUCUUGCCUUUUCAACAACAAAAUGCAUUCAGUACAAUAUAAACCUCAAUAUUAUAGGGGCAGGGUGUUUUCAUUUUUUCUCCACUUCAAUCUUGUGGCAAAAUAUUGUCUGAUUUGACUUUGGUGAGGAAAUUGUGGUGCGCAACCCAAAUUUAAUUGUGAUUAAGUAACACUAGGAAAUUGGAAAACCAGUUUAAAGUAAAAAAAAAAAAAAAGGAAAAACGCCAAGAUAAUGACUUCCAUUUACUUCGGAAGUCUUAGCAGCAUGUUUCUCCUGGGACCUGAGUCAGUUGAAGUCAGAUGCACUCCUCAGCUAGAUCAUAUUAAUAUAAGUGAAUUUUUUUUCUUCAUCUCAGUUCCUUGGCCCUUCACAACCCAUUUCAACACAUGAUCACUUAACACACAGUGAGCAUUAUGCAAUGCAUGACUGUAAUUGCACAUGUAGUGCUUUUAUUAAGAUAACUUUGCAAACUUGUCUUUGAUAUAAAAUUGUUUAGCAUGACAUAUGCAGCAUCAUAUUGUUUUGAAUAAAGUCUGGUUAAAAACA